AUUGAACGCUGGCGGCAGGCCUAACACAUGCAAGUCGAGCGGAUGAAGGGAGCUUGCUCCUGGAUUCAGCGGCGGACGGGUGAGUAAUGCCUAGGAAUCUGCCUGGUAGUGGGGGAUAACGUCCGGAAACGGGCGCUAAUAUCGCAUACGUCCUGAGGGAGAAAGUGGGGGAUCUUCGGACCUCACGCUAUCAGAUGAGCCUAGGUCGGAUUAGCUAGUUGGUGGGGUAAAGGCCUACCAAGGCGACGAUCCGUAACUGAUCUGAGAGGAUGAUCAGUCACACUGGAACUGAGACACGGUCCAGACUCCUACGGGAGGCAGCAGUGGGGAAUAUUGGACAAUGGGCGAAAGCCUGAUCCAGCCAUGCCGCGUGUGUGAAGAAGGUCUUCGGAUUGUAAAGCACUUUUAGUUGGGAAGAAGAGCAGUAAGUUAAUACCUUGCUGUUUUGACGUUACCAACAGAGUAAGCACCGGCUAACUUCGUG
rnacentral:rRNA from 1 species